rnacentral:sRNA from 1 species
GGUAAAAGAGGGGAAAAGAAGUCAGACCUCUUUCCUGCUGGAAGAAAAGGUUUUUUGUUUUUUUGCCCCGCCACACAAGAGGAAGAAGCGAUUUUCGAAAGAAAAUCAGCGGAAUCCUCUUGUGUGUAGAAUUGUGGAAGUUGCGAAGCAACGGAACAAUUCGUGUAUCACA